GCAAGUCGAGGGGUAGCAGGGAGCUUGCUCCGCUGACGACUGGCGCACGGGUGAGUAACGCGUAUGCAAUCUACCUUUAACAGGAGGAUAGCCCCGAGAAAUCGGGAUUAAUACUCCAUAGUAAUCUAAAGUGGCAUCACUUAAGGUUUAAAGCUCCGGCGGUUAAAGAUGGGCAUGCGUGACAUUAGUUUGUUGGUGAGGUAACAGCUCACCAAGACUACGAUGUCUAGGGGUUCUGAGAGGAUGAUC
rnacentral:rRNA from 1 species